rnacentral:lncRNA from 1 species
GGAAGAGGAGACGAGGCGUUGGCCGCCGCAGCAACCAGAGGGAGGAGGAGAAGCUGCAGCACACACAGAAGAGAGAAGAAGUAGCAGCAGCAGGACUUGGUUUUUGAUCAAGUCUCUCUGCCUUCCCUUCUUCUUAUUAUUAUUGUUAUUGGCAGCAUAAUCAUGUAAAAAAAGAAACUUUUCAAAAACAAAAUUGAAUUGGAGGUACAAAAAAUGGAAGGAUUUGAUGAGAAAAGAUUUGUGUAUGUAUUUGGUGGUGUACAGAUGCUCAAUACUGCAUGCCUGCCUGCCUGCCUAUGUAUUGGAUGGAAUGAGCUGGCAUUUUCAAGGAUGACUUGACUGCUUCCAGUGGAGGAGAGAGGUAUUCAAAGGAAAGAAACAAAUACCAAAUAUUCAAUUGGGAGGUAGAUUUGGAAGGCAUGAAUUGAGCCCAAUUAUCUUUUUUUU